UUCGACCUCUCCUCGCUUCUCUCCUGCAUGUCUCUCUCUCUCUCUCUCUCUCUCUCUCGCAGUCGUCACCGCCGCCAGCCAUCCUCCCCAUCGCCCCCUUACCCCCGUCAUCUCGCACUCACUCCACCCCUCUCACAGUCGCCGCCGCUAGCCAUCUCGUAGGAUGGAGACGCUGGCCAUCUCCAUCUCCUCUCUGUCGCCGUCUGAUCCAGAUGCGGCCGCAGUCUGCCGGCGCCGCAGGCGGAGGAGACGCGCCUAGGAGGAGCUUUCUUCAUCACACGCGGCAGCCGGCGUAGCUCUGCCUCCCACACUCCCAUCGUCUCCGUCACACCCGGUCACUGUACACGGAGGGGGAGGAGUGGUGGCCGGCAGAGAUCUGCCUCCUUCAUCCAGGUGGAGGCGUUCGGCGGCGGCCUGGCCGUGGCGUUUUAGUCGACGGACCCGUACGGGGACUUCCGGGUGUCGAUGCAGGAGAUGGUGGCCGCACACGGGGCCGGCGGCUGGGGCUGGGGCUGGCUGGAGGAGAUGCUGGGGUGGUACCUGCGCGCCAAUGGCAAGGACACGCACGACACCAUCGUGACGGCCUUCGUCAACAUCAUCGUCUCUGUCGCCGACCCCGGCCGCGGCUCCUCCUGCUCGUCCCAGAUCUCGUCCUGCGCGUCCGUGGACGGGGAUCAGUAAACUAAUCUUACUUCCGUGGCAUGGUUAAUGUGGUGAGAGUGAACUUUGCCGAGCUAGCUAGCUAAUGAUGGCGGAGUGUGGUAGAUGAGUGAGAGGGCUGCGGCGUCGAGGUCCGAGGGGCGGCGAUGGAAAAGAUAAGGGAUGAGAGGCACGCGUGUGAGCAGGUGGAACAAUGCAAGCGCCUCAGUGACCCGUCAGUCUCCAACAAGGGUUUUGAACUGAAUGCUCAUCAGAUUACCCAGGUUUGGUUUUAUUGUAUGGGUGCUUUGUUCUUUAAUUUGCAGAACAUGUUUGAACAACGUUUCGGCCUUCACGGAUUAGUAUAGUACCCUAACUGUCGCAUAAAAGUGGAAGAAAGUAAGUGCAGUACCAUAUUAUAAGCACUGUCAAGUUAUCUGCAUUGCUCGUUUGGUUAUUGCUUUGAGAGAGUCAUUCUUCACGGAUUGCUCGGUACCAGCCAAUAUUAAACACCCUUGUGUAUCUGAAUUGUCGCACGGUUGUGCUAGAUAGUACUGCAUUGGAUGUUUAUGUUUGAUAAUUGAGUUGUACUUUUCAUACAUAUCUGUUGGUAGAGCCGUUCUUACUUCAUUCAAAGGCUUGAAAUGCUACCGUUGCAAUGUUCUCCACAAGAUAUAGAUAUUUUUUCUGAGGUCAAGUAGGCACAGGGAAGUAUUAGCAUCAAAUAGCUGGUGUGGCAUGUUGUAUGCAUGGAGGGUACACCAUCAAGAUGUCUAUAUGUUGCAAAAGCAAAGAUACAUAUCUUGCUUGGAGAGUUAUCUCUUCAGCUAUGCUUUAAAUUGGCGGGUUACUGGGACUUAAACCUCAAAUUGAAAAGACUCUCGGGACUACUAGGGCAACCUUUUGGUAUAAUGCAUGAACCAACUUGCCAAAAAGCACCUUUAACUUGAACAAAUGUUUUUGACAGGAGCAAUUUUUUCUUCCUGUAACAGGAGAUUGGGUUAAUCUCCACCAUCAUCGACAGGGAGAAAUCAACGGAAUCAGUUGUUUUGUGACUGAUUCCAUCGCAUCUCUGGUGUACACGAUUUUGAUUUCUGAACAAUGUCAUUGUGUAGGUCCGCCGUCAGCAGGGGUUGUUUUCCUGGGUUAUGAGCUGAUUGCUAGGGAGGUGUACACUAGAGGACAUGUUCACCACUGAUAAUUCAAUGGAGUGUGUAGACUGAUAUAGUACCUACUACCUACUCAAAGGAGGAAAGGUCUAAGUCCCAGGUGAAUCUGUGCUUCUUUUGAACCUUCUCUCUCUAGCAUAUCCCUUUGUUUCACCAAACUGUUGUAGUAUGGGGAUUAUCUUAACAAGAGCACUUUUAUUUUUGUCACAUAUUUAUAUGGGUAAAGUUUUCGCAGUUAAUAAGUUGUUCCAAAGAGUGCUUAGCCUGAUGCUUUGAAGAUCAAGUUUCAGCGUGGCUUACAAUGUUAGAUCAGUUUGAGUUUCUGUACCAAGUUGAAAGCCUAAUGCUCCAAAUGGUACAUUCUAAUUUUAUAACUAUCCCUUAUUUUCUUAAUCUGAAAAUGACAAACCACCCGUAUGCUCUCUAAAUUCAGGGUAAAACUGAACCUAAAUUCAGAUAUAUUUUGAUGUAAUCAUACAUUAGUUGCAACUAGAUUAUAUGAGCAUAUCAGACUAUAUGGUCUCAUAGACCUUUAGAAGUUGUUGAUAUUCUCUAUUUUUGGCCACAUCAUUUCUGUAAAAAUAGUAGACUGAAGCUUGUACUGUCAAACAGAGUUGCUAUUGUAUUGAUGCCUUGGAAUGUUGUUAAAUCAAGUAAUGCAGCUGAAUUUGUCUGCUACAUGUUAAUCUUGCUCUUUGAUACUUGUUCACAAAUUGUUUACUUGAUGCUUCAUGGCAACUGCUAUUCUUACAAGACUAUCAAUCUGAGAUCAUAACUCAGAAAAAUGAGAUGUGCACAUAUGUUUAUAUUUUGAUUUACUAAUGGUUUCCUUGAUGUGAAUGUUUUCUUGCAUUAUCUGAUUUCUAAUCUGCAGUAAAUGUGACACAAGUUUAUCAUUUCUCAUUGUAUGGAGUGAACCGAGACAUCAACUAGCUGGACGUGGAAGUGUUGUUCCUGAAGGAGAAGUAUGAGGUUGUGCUUGACAAGAUCUCCAGGCUGGAGGAGAUGGCUUCUCUGUUCAUUUAUAUUCUCCUUGAAGCAUGAGAUGUCGGAUUCAGAGCAACAAGGCGACUAAAUGAUGGGGUUAUGGCAAGGAGGCACACAUAUGGAUGAUCGGUGAGGUCGCUAGAGCUUAUGAGAGGGGAAUGGAUUCUGUCGCCACGAUGUUGAAUGGGACGCGCACCACUUUUUUUGUACCUAUAUUAAAGUAUAUUUGUGUGAUGAGCAGCUACAGCUUGUGUUUGCAAAUAUGUUCCUUUUUAGCUUUAACCAUUUUUUGUGAAGAGAAUAUUUUGUAAACCAGUGCAAACUUUGCCUAAAUUACCAUCCAUUUGGCAAAAUGUUAAAGCAGAUUAGAUCAUUCCUCGCAAUAAUCAUUGGAGUUAAGUUUCAAUCCA